CCCCACGUCGCCCCUAAAGCCCCACGUCGCCCCUAAAGCCCCUAAAACCCCACGUCGCCCCUAAAACCCCACGUCGCCCCUAAAACCCCACUUCGCCACUGAACCAAACAAAACAAGUCCCCUAUGAAACCGAACAGAGCAGAGCCACUACGGAUGUUGAUGGCAGUUCUCAUCUUUCAUAGACUAGAUGAAGGGGGCCCCCAUUUUAAUCCAGUCCUAGAAGGCAGCAUGAUUCAUCUGUGCUCAGAUAAGCCAAGCAGCUAGCGUUUGAUCACCAGGCAUUGUGUGUGCUCUGCAGACAGCCCAGGUGACCCCAGUAUUAGAAAUAUAAAUAUGUACCCAGGGGAUGGCUGUUGUCAAAAAUUGAUCAAUGGGAAAUGUAAGGUUAAUUAAUAUUGUACAUUCCUCAAAUGAUCUUCUUCGAUAAGCACUCUGAUCAAUCAAUGGCACUAAUAAUAGAUUUUAUUUCUGUGAAUUGUCAAGUUUGAAAAAAUAUAUAUAUAUUUUAUUUUCAUGGUUGAAAUAUUUGUAUGAUAGUGUGAGAUUUGUCUAAAUAAUAACUAUUAUGUGGAUAUAAUGUAGUGUGUAAUGUCGUGUACAAAAUGAAACUCGUUUUUUGGGGGGGAUGCAAUAGCAGACUUGAACCACAUGGUGACACUGUUGCCCACCAGAGGAGUUCCUGGCAGUAUCUGUGUGUUUCCUGCCUCACCCUGAAGACAGUGAUGAUACACACAGAGCACACUGUAGCUCUUCUAAAAAAAACAUCCAUCCUCUCCUUGCCUACUCUCCUUGCCUCCUCUACUUCAUUACUCUAAUCUGAAAGAAAUGACGAGGAAGGGGCUGGAUACAAGCUGAAUCGACGAAGUAGCGCAGAACAUUCACUUUAUAGCUUGAUUGAAAUUGAAAGGCAAUGUUCCCACAUUCACGGUAAACACUGCAUUCACAGUAAACACUGCAUUCACGGUAAACACUGCAUUCACAGUAAACACUGCAUUCACAGUAAACACUGCAUAAACGGUAAACACUGCAUUCACGGUAAACACUGCAUUCACGGUAAACACUGCAUAUUCACGGUAAACACUGCAUUCACGGUAAACACUGCAUUCACGGUAAACACUGCAUUCACAGUAAACACUGCAUUCACGGUAAACACUGCAUACACAGUAAACACUGCAUUCACAGUAAACACUGCAUUCACGGUAAACACUGCAUACACAGUAAACACUGCAUUCACAGUAAACAUUGCAUUCACGGUAAACACUGCAUUCGCGGUAAACACUGCAUACACAGUAAACACUGCAUACACAGUAAACACUGCAUUCACGGUAAACACUGCAUUCACGGUAAACACUGCAUUCACGGUAAACACUGCAUACAUGUAUCUCGGCUCAAUUGGAAAUGACUUUAUUUAAUUCACUUUUAACGCAGAUCUGCUUCGAUACUUCAGCAAUACAGAUUGAAUCCGGGCCCAAGUGCUUUUCUAAACAGUUCCGAUGAAGGAAAGAAAAUGACGAGAGAACAGAUUUUUAAGUGACUGAGAAUGAGACCCAGAUAUGGUUUAUAAUGUUCGUUACAGGCUUUGACCAACCUGUUGCCGUGGCCUGAACAGCAUCUCUGUGUCUGUCUGUUAGCCUUCUGUUAAAGUCGUCUUUAUGGAGACGUUAUGUAUCACAUAGCACACAGUCCCAGCCACGUGGACACUGUACCGCAGGUAGAGACCCUGGAGUUGAACACCAUGCACCGAUCAAACAGAACACCAGUGACAGAGCUUGUCUUGUCUCAGGGUUGCAAAAUUCUGUUGAAGUUGAACAAAAUUCCACCAGGUUUUUUCCCAGAAUACAGUUUGGAGGAUUCCUUUAUUCCCUGGUUUUUCUUCACUUCAUUCCAGGGAAUCUUUCAACCAGUAUUUCGGGAAAAUCUGGGAAUUUUGGGAAAUGUUUCAACCCCUAGGAGUGAUAGAUCUGUAAUGGUGGCAGCCAAUCCAAUACACAAUACCCAGCACAGGAUAUUAAAGUCCAGGCACAAACAGAGAACGCCUCUAUACAUUCCAGUAAAGCACAGCAGUAAAGCGCACAUCUGAAGCACAACUGUGGAAGCACAACUGUGGAAGCACAACUGUGGAAGCACAAAGGAAGUGAGAUAGCAGAAUAGAUUAUUGCAUUGUGACCAGCAAAUAGAGCACAGCACUUACUCAUAGCGUUGUAUUGACUGGUGGAUCACAGCCGCAGGUUGCUAGGGACUAAAUGGUCAUGUUGGAUGCCGAGCAAACAGAUCACUUAGCUACAUACCCAUACAGGCUACAGUACGUGUAUGGGCUAAUGUGUACGGCAGGAACUCACAGGUUGUAUGCCAAAUGGCAUUAUUUUCCCUAUAUAGUGCAUUUGGGACGUAAACACAGGAAACCUAAACUCUUUCUCCUUUUAAAACGGAUUACGGAUUGUAUAGCACUUAAACAUACUAACAUGGUUCAUGAAUGAAUUAUACUAAAAGGUCAUAGAGG